rnacentral:misc_RNA from 1 species
UCCAUCGGUGUUGGGGUGUUGACUAGUGUGAGCCGUGAAGGUGAUAGUCUGAAGAACAAGUGGACGCUGUUUAUUUCUACUACACCUGAACCACCACGGUUAGCAAUGGCUACAAGGGUGGUGCUGGUGGUGGUACUAUGGCUGGUGGUAGCAGGCGCUGUUGUGGCCGACUUCCCCAGACCAGAGUACAAGUACUCUUGUUUACAUUACUGUCAGUCACAGCACUAUGGUCAAUCUCUCUUCUACUGCUGCCGGGCUGCCGAGGUGUCACAAGCGCCGGUUCACUUCACCGGCGGCACGCAAACUGCCUCCGCCCAGGAUUCCUUAGCUGCUGCCACAUCUACCUUGGAGACGCGGGUCACCAUCACUGCCACUCCGCUGUUGUUGAACCUACAGGCACUGGGCGCAGCUGUUACUGAAACUGUAGUAGGCACUCUCUCUACCACAGUCUCUCCCAGCGCCGUAUCCGCCACUCUGAUUACAAACACCGCUCGAGAAGAGUUCCAGACUCACAGAGGAGAGUGUCCGCCGUCACGCGCCUUCUGUCCAGGAGCCAGGUCAAAGUUCCCACACCUCUCGUUGUGCAAGACAGACUACGAUUGUGUAGAAUCUGAUAAAUGCUGCUAUGACGCCUGCCUGAAGAACUACGUCUGCAAGACUGCUGUUGGCGGCAGAUAUCCUAGGACCGUGGACGAAGUGAAGUACGAAUCUAAGAAAUCCUACGGUUAUAAAAAGUCUACUAGAGGAAUGCGGGUCAUCCUACGGGAUAAUGGAGAACCGGUGCAUGUUGUGGUGGAUGAUAAGGAUGAACCCGUGGCAGUGGGUGAAGGCGACAUGGUGGUUAUGGUAGUUCGGGACCCGAUGGCGGUAGUCUCUGGCACUGCAGGUGUUACAGACUCUCCCGACACUGAAUACCCGACGCCUAAAUCCCCCACGCCUACAGCGACCGUACACCUGUCUGAAGAGGAUGAUGUUUACGUAGUGAAAGACGAAAAUGGCGAUGUUGUAAUGGAUGCCAAUGACAACACGUUAACGCUGGUACAACUUGGUUUAGGUCCCACGCUUCUGUUAAACGAUGUGGGGAUGAAAGUCCUGGCCGAGUUUAGUUCGUCUACAGAAUUUGCGUUCAGAGGGACAGUCGCAUACUCCCUUGUACCGAACCUGAUGGUGCAUAAACAGACGUACACCCAAGAAACUAGAACCGCAUACCACAUAACGGCACAAGGUAAAAUUAUAACCGUUGACGAAGAAGCCCCAUUAAUAGUGGUCAACAGUGAUGGGGUGACCUUCAUGCUCGACUACCUAGCAACAGAAAAUAUCCAGGCGAGUGCACUGUCUCUCAUCAGUGUUGUGGAUGCGAAUAAAGUGGAUGCCGAUAUCGUGUUGGAUGGAGAUGGGAACGUGGUCACUGAUGAGUAUGGCAAUAUAGUUACAACGAAGGAUAUGACCCGCGCUCCACCUUCACCAGACGAAGAGAUGGUCAUUAUCGACGGGGAUGGUAAUGCAGUGAAAUUAGUGGAUAUGAACGAUAUGGCAGUGAAGUUAACGGACAACCUUGGCAAUGAACCGAAAAUAAUGAAUGAAGGACUAGUCAUGAAACUCGAGAAUUCGGUCGGGGUGGCAAUCCAUGAGAUGGAUGAUGGCAUAUUUCUAAUCAUUGACGGGGAUGGACGUGUGGUGUUAGAUAAGUAUGGUCAUCCUCUCCUCGUCCAGCCGCUCAGAGAACAACCUGGUAUGGGGAACAUGUACGAGCAAGAUAUGAUGGGUGAGGAGGAAGAUUCGGACAUGGAAGAAUAUUUAGAUGAGGAAGAUGCACUUCUAAAAUGUGUAUCCGAGUAUCGUAAGCGGCAACCUACACAUUAUGGGGGGCCAGGUCUUUCUAUGCGUGAUUAUGAUGCGGAGCAGCAGCCAGGGACCACUACAGAAGCGCAGGCAGAUGAAGACGACGGUUCGGGGAUGGAGGGAGAUACAGGCACCUUUGAUUAUCCAGUUGACUCCGAAGAUGAAUACGUUGAUGAAGAGUAUGAGGAUAAUAAAAUAAUGGAUUACGACGACACUGAAACGCUUCCUGGGGGGAGACAUUUGCUUUCGGUUUUACCUCGACGAAAACGACAUUUACAUUUACAGGCAGAGUCGCUUGAUGACGAAACUCUGGAUGGAUCGGGGAGUGAAGAUGAUAUGGACACAGGCUCGGGGUACUCCAGUGACCUUAAGAAGCAUCACGAGCUACCGUCCAGGUGGGAACGUUCAGCACCUUCCGACAGUAACCAGACAAUGAUGGAUGGAAGUGAAGUGGAUGAUAAUUCAGAUGGUAAUGCCGCAAGUUCCCGCAGGCGACGCCAUACUGAUGGAAUGGAGGAAGGAUCUGGGUCAGGUGACUUAGAAGGUUCCCGAAGGCGACGACAUACUGAUGGAAUGGAGGAAGGAUCAGGUGACGUAGAUCACCGAAGGCGACGACAUACUGAUGGAAUGGAGGAAGGAUUGGGUCAGGUGACCUAGAAGGUUCCCGAAGGCGACGACAUACUGAUGGAAUGGAGGAAGGGUCAGGUGACGUAGAUCACCGCAGGCGACGACAUACUGAUGGAAUGGAGGAAGGAUCUGGGUCAGGUGACCUAGAAGGUUCCCGAAGGCGACGACACACCCAUGGAAUGGAGGAAGGAUCUGGGUCAGGUGACCUGGAAGGUUCCGAAGGCGACGACAUACCCAUGGAAUGGAGGAAGGAUCUGGGUCAGGUGACCUGGAAGGUUCCCGCAGGCGACGACAUACCCAUGGAACGGAGGAAGGAUCUGGGUUAGGUGACCUGGAAGGUUCUCGCAGGCGACGACAUACCCAUGGAACGGAGGAAGGAUCUGGGUCAGGUGACCUGGAAGGUUCCCGCAGGCGACGACAUACCCAUGGAAUGGAGGAAGGAUCUGGGUCAGGUGACCUGGAAGGUUCUCGCAGGCGACGACAUACCCAUGGAACGGAGGAAGGAUCUGGGUUAGGUGACCUGGAAGGUUCCCGAAGGCGACGACAUACCCAUGGAAUGGAGGAAGGAUCUGGGGCAAGUGACCUAGAAGGUUCCCGAAGGCGACGACAUACCCAUGGAAUGGAGGAAGGAUCUGGGUCGGGUGACGAAGAAUCUGGAGGAAGGCGUCGUCGAGCUAUUCACUGAGAUGGUGAUUCUUAUGAUGGUGGAAGAGUCGCUAAUGUGGUCACUGCAGCUGUCUGUCUUCCUCAAUAUGCUGGAAGAGAUGACGGGCAUAGCAGCUGAUAUCGGCCACGUGACGAAAAUUCCACACCCAAACUUUGUAUAUGCCUAGAAUUUAUGCCUAGAACCUCACUUAAUUUUACUUAAUAAAUUUCUAUAUUUUA